AUUGAACGCUGGCGGCAGGCCUAACACAUGCAAGUCGAACGGUAACAGGAAGCAGCUUGCUGCUUCGCUGACGAGUGGCGGACGGGUGAGUAAUGUCUGGGAAACUGCCUGAUGGAGGGGGAUAACUACUGGAAACGGUAGCUAAUACCGCAUAACGUCGCAAGACCAAAGAGGGGGACCUUAGGGCCUCUUGCCAUCGGAUGUGCCCAGAUGGGAUUAGCUAGCAGGUGGGGUAACGGCUCACCUAGGCGACGAUCCCUAGCUGGUCUGAGAGGAUGACCAGCCACACUGGAACUGAGACACGGUCCAGGCUCCUACGGGAGGCAGCAGUGGGGAAUAUUGCACAAUGGGCGCAAGCCUGAUGCAGCCAUGCCGCGUGUAUGAAGAAGGCCUUCGGGUUGUAAAGUACUUUCAGCGGGGAGGAAGGGAGUAAAGUUAAUACCUUUGCUCAUUGACGUUACCCGCAGAAGAAGCCCCGGCUAACUCCGUG
rnacentral:rRNA from 1 species